rnacentral:rRNA from 1 species
UACGUAGGUGGCGAGCGUUGUCCGGAUUUACUGGGCGUAAAGAGCGCGCAGGCGGUCGUUCAAGUCGCGUGUGAAAGCCCCCGGCUCAACUGGGGAGGGUCACGCGAUACUGAUCGACUCGAAGGCAGGAGAGGGAGGUGGAAUUCCCGGUGUAGUGGUGAAAUGCGUAGAUAUCGGGAGGAACACCAGUGGCGAAGGCGACUUCCUGGCCUGUUCUUGACGCUGAGGCGCGAAAGCGUGGGGAGCAAACAGG